AUACUUACCUGGACGGGGUCUAUGGGCGAUCAAUAAAGCUUAUGGCCUAGGUUAACGGCUCACAUUGCACAUGGUGUGUGCGUUGAUCUACCAUCUCCCCUUUGCGGGGAGAGUGGACGUUGUAAUUUGUGAUAGAGGGGGCAAGCGUUCGCGCGGCCCCUGC
rnacentral:snRNA from 1 species